ensembl:snoRNA LOC120097595 small nucleolar RNA SNORA48
CUCCCCUGGCACUGGACAGAGACAAUCUGUGGUGAUGUUCUUCUAUCAGCCAAUGGUGGAGCAGAUGGCAGUCCUUUGUUCAUGCUAGCUUGAUGCCUGGCUUGGUGGCCAAAGCCGUUUCAUGCCUAGGACUCAUAA